AUUGAACGCUAGCGGGAUGCUUUACACAUGCAAGUCGAACGGCAGCGCGGACUUCGGUCUGGCGGCGAGUGGCGAACGGGUGAGUAAUGUAUCGGAACGUGCCCAGUAGCGGGGGAUAACUACGCGAAAGCGUAGCUAAUACCGCAUACGCCCUACGGGGGAAAGCAGGGGAUCGUAAGACCUUGCACUAUUGGAGCGGCCGAUAUCGGAUUAGCUAGUUGGUGAGGUAACGGCUCACCAAGGCGACGAUCCGUAGCUGGUUUGAGAGGACGACCAGCCACACUGGGACUGAGACACGGCCCAGACUCCUACGGGAGGCAGCGGUGGGGAAUUUUGGACAAUGGGGGCAACCCUGAUCCAGCCAUCCCGCGUGUGCGAUGAAGGCCUUCGGGUUGUAAAGCACUUUUGGCAGGAAAGAAACGUCGCGGGCUAAUACCCCGUGGAACUGACGGUACCUGCAGAAUAAGCACCGGCUAACUACGUG
rnacentral:rRNA from 1 species